ACGAUUUCCUAGUCUCUACUCAGCAUGAUGUGUUAAUUCAAAUAGAGAUGCUAAAUCUGCGAGAGAGAGGUUGAGUGUUCUUUCCCGUAGUAGCUCUUUGUCCUCAGAGAGUGGUUCUCUCCCAGUUCAGACAUUUCCUAGUCACCGCUGAGCCUGAUGUGCUAAUUCUGCGAGAGAGAGGUUGAGUGUUUGUUCUCGUAGCAGUUCUUUGUUCUCAGAGAGUAGUUCUCUCUAGGUUCAGACAUCUUGUCACCAGCCUUACAGUUUUCCCCCCUUGGCCCCAUGGGCUAUUCACAAGAGACCUUGCGGGGUCAUUGCAUUCGGUGUACGUGGAGUUUAAUACCUGUUGAUGAUCAUCAUUUCAGUCUUUGCAAGUUCUGUCAUGUAUCAAGGAGGGAACUCUGGACUUAAUUUCCCAGCAGCCACUGCACCAUACUACAUCGUUGUCACAUGACAAUCUGCACCUGUAUCCCGUUUCUGUUUAACAAGCACUCCUAUAUAUAGCCACUGUUUGUACUGCUUCCUUGUCUUACGUAUUGUCUAUCUUGACCUUUGUCCCUGUACUAUGUUUUGUUUCAUCGUUUAGCCUUAGCCUCUUUGUUUUGUUUUGUUGUUUGUUUUGUUUCUGUUCUGUCUCCUCCCUGUUUUGUCAUUGGUUGUUGUUCGAUAGUGUGACUUCAUUGUUUUCAGCUGCCAGCACUUUAUGUUGAUUAUGGUUGGGAUAUAUACCGCUCGCUUCCCAUUACACCUCGUGGAGUAUUAGAUAUAGUAUAGUUUAAUAGUAGAUAGUUCAUGUUACGUACCUUAGAUUUAGUUAGUUUACCACAAUAGAUUAGUUAAUUUAGACCACGCUUUUAUUUCUGCUCCCAGUUCCCUGUCAGAGCUUUGUUUCC
ensembl:lncRNA